rnacentral:rRNA from 1 species
AGCGAACGCUGGCGGCAGGCCUAACACAUGCAAGUCGAACGGAGCCUUCGGGAUUAGUGGCGGACGGGUGAGUAACACGUGGGAACGUGCCCUUUGGUUCGGAACAACUCAGGGAAACUUGAGCUAAUACCGGAUGUGCCCUUCGGGGGAAAGAUUUAUCGCCAUUGGAGCGGCCCGCGUCUGCUUAGCUAGUUGGUGAGGUAACGGCCCACCAAGGCGACGAUCAGUAGCUGGUCUGAGAGGAUGAUCAGCCACACUGGGACUGAGACACGGCCCAGACUCCUACGGGAGGCAGCAGUGGGGAAUCUUGCGCAAUGGGCGAAAGCCUGACGCAGCCAUGCCGCGUGAAUGAUGAAGGUCUUAGGAUUGUAAAAUUCUUUCAGCGGGGACGAUAAUGACGGUACCCGCAGAAGAAGCUCCGGCUAACUUCGUG